rnacentral:rRNA from 1 species
AGUGAACGCUGGCGGUAGGCCUAACACAUGCAAGUCGAACGGCAGCACAGUAAGAGCUUGCUCUUACGGGUGGCGAGUGGCGGACGGGUGAGGAAUACAUCGGAAUCUACUUUUUCGUGGGGGAUAACGUAGGGAAACUUACGCUAAUACCGCAUACGACCUACGGGUGAAAGCAGGGGAUCUUCGGACCUUGCGCGAUUGAAUGAGCCGAUGUCGGAUUAGCUAGUUGGCGGGGUAAAGGCCCACCAAGGCGACGAUCCGUAGCUGGUCUGAGAGGAUGAUCAGCCACACUGGAACUGAGACACGGUCCAGACUCCUACGGGAGGCAGCAGUGGGGAAUAUUGGACAAUGGGCGCAAGCCUGAUCCAGCCAUACCGCGUGGGUGAAGAAGGCCUUCGGGUUGUAAAGCCCUUUUGUUGGGAAAGAAAAGCAGCAGGUUAAAACCCCGCCGUUCUGACGGUACCCAAAGAAUAAGCACCGGCUAACUUCGUG